rnacentral:rRNA from 1 species
CGGUGCCAGCCGGCGCGGUACACCGGCAGCUCUAGUGGUAGCAGUUAUUAUUGGGCCUAAAGCGUCCGUAGCCGGUUCAAUAAGUCUCUGGUGAAAUCCUGCAGCUCAACUGUGGGGCG